GGAGCACAACUUAUGGCAUGGAAAAGUGCCACGCAAAUUGUGGAGUGCAGUGGCUCCCUGGUAGCAGGAGGAGAAGCGAGAAACCCCACAGGAAGAAGCAGAGAUGGAGAAAGUGGCCGAGUCACAGCAGGGUGGGGUGCUAGCGUCAAGAUCCACAAAGCACUGCCCUGUUUCCAGAACCCCCACCAGUCCCAGUCCCUCAUGAUGACUCCUGCCUGCCAACUGCCUCGAGAUUCUUGUUCCCCCAUCGCUGUGAGUGUGUGUGCAUGAAGCCCCACUACUUAGCUCACUCUAGUGCAGUGCAAAAAGCUGAACAACACAGCUGUCAAUAUUUUAUUAAGUGAGAAUGUGAUCCAGGCAAGAUGUGGUCAGAGGGUCCUGAAUUAAAACAAAAGAACAGAAACAAAAUAGUGAAUGGGGUCACUCAAGACGGCAUCAGGAUUUAUUCAGCACGUGGUCACAAAGCAGGGAUCUUUCCAGUGGUCUAAUAGGAAAGGGGUCGGUCUCUCAUUGACUUCUGCCUUCCUCACUUGACUGAUCACGUGAUGAAGUGAGGAAAACACGAGGAUGGCCAGCCUUUUGUAGUGAUGAUACUGAAGGGUUUUGUUGUCGCAAAGAGCCUAAGAAUCAACCGGAACCAUGAUCCUCCUGGACGAUUCUCCCCUGAAAACUGGAAAAUGGCAUAACCUUUAAAAAGAGCCAAGAAGAAACGCAGUGUUGCUUCCAUUUCUACUGUGAGCCCAAGGUAACAGUGCCAGACUGGCCACCUUGGUGAAAGCCCCUUUCCUCUCCUGGGCUGGCCCCUCUGCCAGGAAGUACAUUUGCCGGCCCUGAUGUUUACCUGGCCAGCUGACCUGCCCUUACCCACCUUAGCUGGUUCCUGGGGCCACUGUCUCCUCCAAGCCUUGCAGACACCUGGUCUCCUCACCCAGGUAUCCUCCUCAUGGGCUGGGAACACUUCAAAGGUAAUUGAGCGGGGCCAGUGGUGUUCUGUCCCCACCUGCUGCCAGGCUGGGGAACAGUACCUUCCGAGGAGGCCACAGGGAGGGGUGGGAACCGCCUGGGCUGCUGGAUUGCAGAGACCAGCCUCCAGGGACUGAGGAGGAGCGUCCAGCUCUGUGUCUUCUCAGCGGCGUGAACUUGGGCACAAAGCCAACACAUCACCGAGCCUCAGUUUCCUCAUCUGUAAACCUGACAAUGCCUACUUCAGAGGUUUCUGCGAGGUCUGAUGAGAUCAUGCGACACAGACUGCGCCUUCAUUAAGCGCUGGCUCUCCUCUUGGCUGUCGACCAUCCCAUUUACAUGCCUCCUGCUGGUGGAGACCAGUGAGAAGGAUCCGGGCUGCUGGGAAGUAGGGGAGGGGGUGGAGAGAGAGGAGGGGAAGAGGGAGGAAGAAGGGGAGACAGGGACAGGCUGAGAGGUACGUGGGCAUGAUUCCACCCCCGACCCUCCCACAGCGAGGGGCAGGCGGUCGUAGAUGCAAAAGAUGGCUAAACCGUCGUACAGCAUGAAGAAUGCAAAUUUGAGGGCAGAAAGUUGCACAGUCUCCAAGUUUCUGCCACUGCCUGUGUGUCAGGCUGGCAUGAAGCUAUUCUGUGACAUGGCACUUUUGGGAAUUGACUUUUCCCUACACGUCGUAUUACCCUAAACGGAAUGACCGCUUCAGAGGGGUUUUUUUUCAGAAUGUGUCCACUGAAUAUCUGGGACCUCUUUUAGCUCCCCCCCCCCCCCCAUCAUAGGAGAAACCUAUGGAUGUUGACCUAAGUGCCCCAGUGAGGAUCAGAGCAGGGGCAGCCCCAGGCUCCCGACCCAGCAUGGUCCUCUUCCAGUUGAGCAACUCUCUUGUGGUUGAAAGUUCAAAUCUGCAGUGGGGGCUCACCAGCAGCAAGUCACUUAAACACUACCGUCUGUUUGAAUUGAUUAGCUCUCCAGGUUCUGAAAAAAUAGAAACUCACCAGGGCCAGCCCAGUGGCGCAGUGGUUAAGUGCGCACAUUCUGCUUCUCCACGGCCCGGGGUUUGUCAGUUCGGAUCCUGGGUGUGGACAUGGCACCACGCCAUGCUGUGGUAGGUGUCCCACAUAUAAAGUAGAAGAAGAUGUGCAUGGAUGUUAGCUC
ensembl:lncRNA